rnacentral:rRNA from 1 species
GACGAACGCUGGCGGCGUGCUUAACACAUGCAAGUCUACGAGAACGAGGUAGCAAUAUCUCUAUUAAAGUGGCGCACGGGUGCGUAACACGUAAGCAAUCUACCUUUAGGUCUGGAAUAACUUCGAGAAAUCGAGGCUAAUACCGGAUAAUGCAGCGGCAUCGCAUGGUGAUGUUGUUAAAGUUUAAGUAAUGCCUAUAGAUGAGCUUGCGUCUGAUUAGCUAGUUGGUAGGGUAAAAGCCUACCAAGGCUACGAUCAGUAGCUGGUCUGAGAGGAUGAUCAGCCACACUGGAACUGAGACACGGUCCAGACUCCUACGGGAGGCAGCAGUGAGGAAUAUUGGGCAAUGCCCGCAAGGGUGACCCAGCAACGCCGCGUGGAGGAUGAAGGCCGUAAGGUUGUAAACUCCUGUUAGAGGAGAAGAACAGUACCGAUUGGAUCGGUAUUUGACUGUACCCUCAGAGAAAGCCCGGCUAACUACGUGCCAG